AAAAACGUAGUAUUUAGACCACUUAAUUAUGAACACAAUUAUUAUUCUCAAGUAAUUAUAGAUAGCUUCCUGUCCCUUCCAGUUUUACUGCUCCAUUGCAUCUCAACACUCCUUAUUCUGCAUACUCUAGAUACCAUGUGAACAUUGUAAAAUACAGUUUUUCACUAUAUAACAAACAUUUCAAUACCAUUGGAUCUGAAAGACGAUCAAAAUGGGGGUUAAAACUUCCAUAUACUGCAUAUAAUGCAGUUUUGAUACAACCAUUACAAAUCUCUCUGCGUCAAAGUUCAAAAAAGUACAGCCGCCAAUACCCACAGCCAGUGCUGAUGUGGGUCAAGAGCUCGUAUGGGUAAAUAGACGAGACUGUAUGCAGUAUACUUCUAAUCAUAUAUUUCAAUUCAUUUAGCUUUUGAUGAGUCACUUGGAAGUUGUAAUUUUAAGCUCCUCCUAAGAAAAUCAGACAACUUUGCACUGGCAGCAUGCCCUCGCUCUAGACACUUGAGAUAUUCUUCCACUGACAUCAAACCAUGGGUGACAGAGGUGAUGAUCCCAUGUUCCACAGGUUCACCUUCCACAAGCAAUGACCCUUCUGGUAGAACAGAGUGAAUUGAGUUUGGGAAGACUAAAAAUGCAAAUCCCUUCAUUUUCUGCUAAAACAAAAAAAAGCCAUGCAUGAGCUAAGGGUAAUUCAAGUACAGUGAAGAAGCACCAAACUAGUUUCUGUCUUCAACCUGAAUAAAGCUUUGCAGUUUGCACCCUACACAAUUACUAAGAAUGGGUUCAUUGCUUAUAAAUCUGAAAACUUGAAACUUGUGCAGAACUAAGGUUUAUCUUUAGGAUGGCCUCCGUCAGCCAGAUAAAUUAUCACCAUAACUUCAAUUACAAUGAUGGAUAAGACAUUAAAAGCUAAGACUGGUAUUGUGAAACCUGUUCUUCCAAUUUGGUGGGAUCCAGUAUAACAUAUCCAUCUUCUGCCAAACAACAACAUAUUGCAACUGCACAAACCAUUAUGGCUUUAGUCACAAAAUAUCAAGCCAAUAAUUCAAGGAGGCGAUGACUGUAAGUCUCAAUUACCAGCAAGAUGCUUUAUAGGAAUUCCAGCAUCCACAAGGGCAGCACAUGCUGCAUUUAUGGCACAUGUCAGAAGCUACACAAAUUUCAGUCAAGAAUACACUCACUGUAUCGAUUGCUCACAGAACUAAAGGAAUAAGGAGGAGCUCACUGCUCAGCAUCCAUCAAAAUGCUUGUUCCAUGGUCAUGAAAAAAUUGCAUUUUUUCUUUUUGGCAGGUACAUAUGUUUUUUUCAGCAUUAUACGAACUGGAAAGAGUCCAUGUGAAGCAAAAAUCUCCUGGAAUAUAACUUUUAUUGCCGCUUAAUGAUUGACAUGUAAUGCCACUAGGCUUAUUAUUACUUAAAUGAUGUCAAUUUAGAAGGUUAAAAGUACACAAUUUUUGUUUGAGGGCUCAAAGGCAACAACUUAAAAAGUGCAGUGGCAAAAUUAUGAGUUUAGUCAUCAUAUCAUACAUUAUACAAAUGCAAUGAUAUAGUAGCAAUCUUUAAGCCUGCCACAUGAUAUAGAACCCAACAAGAGAGAGAAAUAGAUGUAGAAUUGUAAGUCCCAUAUUAAAAAUUUGAAAAGAGAAAUAACCAGUGCAGCAUCUAUAAAAUAAUUAUAAAAGCAAAGAAAGAAAGAAAGAAAGUUAGAAGAAGAAAGACGGAGAGAAGGUGAGCAGUGAGCCUUCAUUUGAGCAUGAUGGCACUAUUUCAUCAUUAAACAGAGACAUGCAAUUAUAAAGGAUACAGCACCAUCAUCAUGAACAACCUGAACUAUAACUGAUGUGGUUGUAUUCGGGUUGAUAGUCAAAAUGCAUAUGCUCUGCAAAGUUCUCUUCAGUAUCAUCUCAUAUUCUUUUUCCAGUUUUCCAAUCUGUCCUGUUUUAGGCUUCCAAAUGACUUCAAUGCAGGCCUUCUCAGGGUUCUCAUUCUUCUUUGUUCCGGCUUUAGGUCCAUAAACAGCAGCUAGAACCUUUGUAUCUCCCUGAGACCAACUAGCAGAGCCAUGGGCACGGUGAAGGAUGUUACGGGAGCAAGCGAGAGGUCUCAGCUGGUUCGGCGUACGGCCAUCUGCCCUAUCAAUCUCCAUCAUUUCGCUCACACUCACAGAAGCCUACAAACUUUUUCUUCUUUAGGGAAUUGCGGUUUCUUACAAUCGAUGGAAAAUUCGCCACCGAAGAUGACUUAAGAAAUGGGGAAAUUAAUUAACAAAUGUAAAGGAUGCAAGCAAGCUGGGGAUGUUUCAAGUAGGGCUAAGCAUUUGGUCUGUUUGGCCGAUCCGAACCGACCAAAG
rnacentral:misc_RNA from 1 species